AGAAGAUGUAGUUUCUUUCUUUACUUUUUUGUCAAUUUAUCAACUCCUACAAACAGCCAUACAGCAUAUAUUAAACACUGCAAGAACCCUGGAACCCAGUAUAAACCAACUGCGCAGGAAAUGUUCUCUUCUCACACUAAGCAUAGGGGAGAUGGGUCAGCUAUACAAUUAUUCUAUACAAAUCUGCUAUGUUUUUUUGAGGUGCGAAAACAUGGCUAAAAAACAA